rnacentral:rRNA from 1 species
GACGAACGCUGGCGGCGCGCUUAACACAUGCAAGUCGAGCGAUGAAAUCUUGACAGAACCCUUCGGGGUGAAGAUAAGAUGGAUUAGCGGCGGACGGGUGAGUAACACGUGAGUAACCUGCCUUAGACAUUGGGAUAGCCUCGGGAAACCGGGAUUAAUACCAAAUGAAAUCACAUAUGCACAUGCAUAAAUGAUCAAAGCUCCGGCGGUCUAAGAUGGACUCGCGUCCCAUUAGCUAGUUGGUGAGGUAACGGCCCACCAAGGCGACGAUGGGUAGCCGGCCUGAGAGGGUGAACGGCCACAUUGGAACUGAGAAACGGUCCAAACUCCUACGGGAGGCAGCAGUGGGGAAUAUUGCACAAUGGAGGGAACUCUGAUGCAGCGACGCCGCGUGAACGAAGAAGGCUUUCGAGUCGUAAAGUUCUUUUAUGUGGGAAGAUAAUGACGGUACCAUAAGAAAAAGCCCCGGCUAACUACGUGCCAGCAGCCGCGGUAAUACGUAGGGGGCUAGCGUUGUCCGGAAUCACUGGGCGUAAAGGGUUCGCAGGCGGAAAUGCAAGUCAGGUGUAAAAGGCAGUAGCUUAACUACUGUAAGCAUUUGAAACUGCAUAUCUUGAGAAGAGUAGAGGUAAGUGGAAUUUUUAGUGUAGCGGUGAAAUGCGUAGAUAUUAAAAAGAAUACCGGUGGCGAAGGCGACUUACUGGGCUCAUUCUGACGCUGAGGAACGAAAGCGUGGGUAGCAAACAGGAUUAGAUACCCUGGUAGUCCACGCUGUAAACGAUGAGUGCUAGGUAUCGGAAAAAUUCGGUGCCGCAGUUAACACAUUAAGCACUCCGCCUGGGGAGUACGUGCGCAAGCAUG